AUCUGGAGUUCAGGGGGCACCAGCGAGCACAGUCUGUGGGGAUGGUGACCACAGUUGGAAGGUGAGGAAACAGGUCCAGAGAGUCCAGAGUCCCACGGGAGCUGGAGAGGCCCGAAGGGGCCCUUCAUGGGUGCUAGGCCGGCACCAAGAAGAGAAACGGCAGAGCCUUGGGGCCUCCAUGCUUCCAGAGCUGGCCUUUCUGGGCCAGCGCUUACCUUGGUGGGAAACUUGUAUUUCAGGGGCUUCUGGGCAGCAACAGAGAAUCACAAGAUAGAAGAGUUGUUUUCUUUCCUAAUAAGUCACAUGACUGGCUUGUCCCUUGAGGCGUCUAAUAAUUGUUUAAAAACGCUAUUAUUUAUAAAGUGCUUCUUCAUCUCA